UACGAAGGGGGCUAGCGUUGUCCGGAUUUAUUGGGCGUAAAGAGCGUGUAGGCGGCCAGACAGGUCAGCUGUGAAAACUCGAGGCUCAACCUCGAGACGUCGGUUGAAACCGUCUGGCUAGAGUCCGGAAGAGGAGAGUGGAAUUCCCGGUGUAGCGGUGAAAUGCGCAGAUAUCGGGAAGAACACCCGUGGCGAAGGCGGCUCUCUGGGACGGUACUGACGCUGAGGCGCGAAAGCGUGGGGAGCGAACAGG
rnacentral:rRNA from 1 species